rnacentral:rRNA from 1 species
AUUGAACGCUGGCGGCAGGCCUAACACAUGCAAGUCGAACGAGUGGCGGACGGGUGAGUAAUGUCUGGGAAACUGCCUGAUGGAGGGGGAUAACUACUGGAAACGGUAGCUAAUACCGCAUACCAUCAGAUGUGCCCAGAUGGGAUUAGCUUGUUGGUGGGGUAACGGCUCACCAAGGCGACGAUCCCUAGCUGGUCUGAGAGGAUGACCAGCAACACUGAAACUGAGACGCGGGCCAGCUUCCAACGGAGGGCAACAGGGGGGAAUAUUGCACAAUGGGCGCAGGCCUGAUGCAGCCAUGCCGCGUGUAGGAAGAAGGCCGUCGGGUUGAAAAGUACUUUCAGCGGGGAGGCGUUACCCGCAGAAGAUGCACCGGCUAACUCCGUGCCAGCAGCCGCGGUAAUAC